rnacentral:misc_RNA from 1 species
CCUCCUUACCAUUACGUCGAAAGACGCACUUGAUGCAGUGCCUACACAGAUUGUUUUGUUCGUAAAUGAACAAACUUGGAUACUUACGAUACUCCUGAGAGUACUGUGAGUCCUCCUUGCGCAAAAGUCAUGACAAAAAGCGUCAUGAUUUUGCACGAUAGUUCUUUAACAAUUUGGAAAGCUGAUAUUAAUAGUAAUCAAUCAAAAUUGAGUAACUGAGAAGUCGAAAGACGUACUUUUUACUCUACUUGACUUGAAUUGCUUGUUAUCAACAUUGAUUGAUAGCAAGGCAAUUCUUCCGAUUAGCUUGUCAUGCAUACAACAUUACCCUUGUCCGAUUUCAAAAGGCGGACAUGGGGCCGAUACUCAAGGCUUUUUAGGGUUGUAUGGUUAAGUGACGAAGCGUAUACGGUGGAUGCCUUGGCAGUUAGAGGCA